rnacentral:rRNA from 1 species
GACGAACGCUGGCGGCGUGCUUAACACAUGCAAGUCGAACGGCGAAGCGCCUUCCUUUUUGGUUGGUGUGGUUGAGUGGCGAACGGGUGAGUAACACUUAAGUAACCUUUCCCCUUCUUCUGGUUAACGGCAUGAAAGUCUAGCUAAUACGGGAUUUUCUGGUUCUUUCGCAUGAUUGGUCUGGUUAAGUUUUUGUUUCUGUUGUGGAUGGUCUCGCGCCCUAUCAUGUUGUUGUUUGUGUGAUGGCCUACCAAGGCGGGGAGGGGUAGACGGCGUGGGGGGGUGGGCGGACACACAGGGGAGGCGACACGGCCAAGACUGAGACGGGAGGCAGCAGUGGAGAAUAGGGCACAGUGGGGGAAAGGCUGAAGCAGCGACGCCGCGUGAGGGAUGGAGGCCUGCGGGUUGUGAACCUCUUUCGCGAGUGAAGCAGGGCUGCCUCGUUUGUGGGUGGGUUGACGGUAGCUGGAAAAGAAGCGCCGGCUAACUACGUG